GAUGAACGCUGGCGGCGUGCUUAACACAUGCAAGUCGAACGAUGAAGCCCAGCUUGCUGGGUGGAUUAGUGGCGAACGGGUGAGUAACACGUGAGUAACCUGCCCUUAACUCUGGGAUAAGCCUGGGAAACUGGGUCUAAUACCGGAUAGGAGCGUCCACCGCAUGGUGGGUGUUGGCACGAUUUAUCGGUUUUGGAUGGACUCGCGGCCUAUCAGCUUGUUGGUGAGGUAAUGGCUCACCAAGGCGACGACGGGUAGCCGGCCUGAGAGGGUGACCGGCCACACUGGGACUGAAACGCGGCACAGACUCCUACGGGACGCAGCAGUGGGGAAUAUUGCACAAUGGGCGCAAGCCUGAUGCAGCGACGCCGCGUGGGGGAUGACGGCCUUCGGGUUGUAAACCUCUUUCAGUAGGGAAGAAGCGAAAGUGACGGUACCUGCAGAAGAAGCACCGGCUAACUACGUG
rnacentral:rRNA from 1 species